UACUCCCGUUAGUUACUCCCCUCGUUUUAUAAUAGAAAUAGGCCAAUUUCCUAAAUCGGAUUUUAUAACUAUUCAGAACUUUGUUUUUUGAUAAUAAUCUCUUGAUAUUUGUACUUAACUCUGCAUUCAUCCUCCAGAGAGGCUCAUUCCUGGAAUUCGGAAUGACUUUUAUCCUCGCGCCUUAACUAUUUGUUUUUUUUUUUUUUCCUAAAUCGGCGGUGUUCCGACAAAUCACACCUGGUGGCAGGACCCUACCAUAAACUUGCGUAAUCUAAUUUUUGACGGCACCCGACCCUCACACCUACGUGUAUACGUAAUAUGAGGUAGAGUUUAAUUAAAGUGUAAUUGAUACGUGAGAUUGAAAGGAUAUUUUCGAUUAGGUAUCAAAUAAUACCUCUGUUUAGACUUUAGAGCAUACAACAGAUAAUAAAUUAUCAUAAAUAUUUGACAGCGCACGCGCCCACGCCCAAUGAAUUUGAGUGAAACCGAAAACAAAACUAAACGUCUCGUCGAGGGUUUAGUCUUGUUAGUCUUCUUUUGUGGAAUGCCAGCCAUCUUAUAUUCAUUCUAAUCCUGAUUCAAUGUCAUUAUUUUCCUGGGAACAAGCUGACUGUUCUAUAACGAAAAACUUCGAUUCUAUUCAUCUUUAAAUUAAAUAAAACUAAAAAAAUUCACAAAUAAAGAACAUACCAAUAUUUUUAAGAGGUCUGUUUAUUAGAUUUUAGUUUCACUAUGAUCAGUUGUGGUUGCGGAAAGCUAUGCAAAGGACAACGUGGCCUUUCUAUUCAUAGAGCAAAAGGCAAUUGUGGUAGCUCAUCAUCAGGUUUGUUCAAUUCAAUGUCAUCAAAUUAUUAUACUCCCUCAUAUAUUUCAUCUUCAUCAAGUCAUUAUAGUUCAUCAUCGUUAUUUUCGUCAAGUUCGGAUAUGGUAGCAUGUGGUUCAUGCGGAGGAAAAUUUAAAGGACAACAUGGUCUCGCUAUUCAUAAAGC